UACAGAGGGGGCAAGCGUUAAUCGGAAUUACUGGGCGUAAAGCGCGCGUAGGCGGCUUUUCAAGUCGAUUGUGAAAUCCCCGGGCUUAACCUGGGAACUGCAGUCGAGACUGUCUAGCUAGAGUAUGGGAGAGGGAAGUGGAAUUUCAGGUGUAGCGGUGAAAUUCGUAGAUAUUGGGAAGAACACCGAUGGCGAAGGCAGCCAUCUGGGACCGACACUGACGCUGAGGCGCGAAAGCGUGGGGAGCGAACAGG
rnacentral:rRNA from 1 species